CCUACGGGAGGCAGCAGUGGGGAAUAUUGCGCAAUGGGCGAAAGCCUGACGCAGCCACGCCGCGUGAGUGAAGAAGGUCCUCGGAUUGUAAAGCUCUUUUGGGAGGGACGAAAUGCCGUCGGGUUAAUACCCCGGCGGUCUGACAGUACCUCGCAAGAAAGCUCCGGCUAACUCCCUGCCAACAACCCCGGUAAU
rnacentral:rRNA from 1 species